UGAUCCUAUGAAAAUACUGCUGGUCCACAGUGUGGGACUAUUUCUGCAUGACCUGGUCCUAGCCUGGCCCUUCAUGUGUGAAUGGAACAGUGUUUUGCUAAUAGGUCCCUUUUUAUAAGUUCACAUAGCCCUGGCGGCUUCAGACAAUGUAAGAAAAAGGCCCUGCCUGGUUUAUCAAUGGCUGCACAAGAGUCUCCAGGGCAGAGUUUGGAAAUUUGCUGGGUUUUCUAGCAAAACAUGUAGGUUGCUCGAAAUGGCAACUUCUCACUUGCAUCAUCAGUGCACAUGUUACUGGUACAGAUUGGUUUUCAAAAUGAGACUGGUGAAGGAAGGGUCAUCCUCCAACUCUUCUGGCCUUAUGUUAUGGAAUAGAGUGUACAGGAAGAAGGAGGAGGUGUAAGAGAAACCAGCAUGCUGGGGUUUGAUGGUUCUGCACCUGUGUCCAAGAUAUGAUGAUACUCCUCAGCUGCAGCUGUCCAUGUCUGGUACUGUAGAGGUGCUGCUGGACCAAGCUCCAACCUUCCACCACCAGUGUUUAGAACCUGCUCUUUGGAUGCUGCAGCCAAAGGGGUUUCCUGCUGAACAAGAAAAGGUUUCUUUUUCAUAAAAGGAACAGUAUUUGUAUGGGCAGGAGGUUGUGACAGUGUCACAGCAGAGUUAGAGGGGAUUUCCUUCUGUUCCCUGAAGAGCCCUUGAGAUUUGUGGUGGUACCUGUGGGCUAAGGACCAUGAAAUCUCCAUGUGCUCCCCUUGAUGUCUUGAUGCAGGAGAUAUAAAACAGUAGAGCUUGUUCAGAUAUGCUGUGGAGCUCUUUAACUUGCUCAGGGCUUCAUUCCUCUGCUGUGGCCAUGAUCUCAGAGGCAAAUCCUGACCAGUAGCACAAAAAAUAACCUGCUGCUUUGGGAAUGCCUGGGGUGAACCCUCAUUCUGGGGAGGAAAGUAUUUCUACUCUCUCCCAUCAUGGAAGUGUCAGAGGUGAGUCAAUCUCACAGAAGACCGAGUUGUGCAGCCAUAAAAGUGUAAGCAAUAUGGUUUUCAUUACAGAUGAAUACUCUUCCCCAGGGGGCAACAUUAGUGCUUUAAAGAGCUGAAAACUGUUCUUGAUGCUGUUUCACUUUGAUUUCUGCUCCUGGCUCCCAGAGCUGCUGCUCAGGACUGUUGCUUACUUCACAAAGGUUUUAUUUUGGAGCAGCAACAGGACAAUAACUAAUUCCAUAGGUGAUUUAGAAAUAACUUUCCUUUAGCAAGAAGACAAAUUGCAACCAGGAAAGACUCAAUCACUCGGGAAACUGUGUGUGCUGUGGUAUAAACCCAAACUCUCCUGUGCCAUCAUGGUUUUGGAUUCAGAGAGGGAGUUUGAUUGAAUUGACAUCCCCAGCCUCUCUCACCAAUCCCCUUCAUUUUGGGACUCCUAAAAUAUGGGCUUUUGAAGACAAAAUGAGCUGCUCCACUGCCAAGAGCAGGUUCUGGUAUUGCCCAAGGCGCAGCAGCAGGGGAAGAGCUCACACUCUGAUAAACUGCUUUUAGAGCAGCACCUACACAAAGUCCUGCACACGUUACUCUGCCACUCACAGAAGCGCAGCACUGCCAGUAAAGCAGAAGAUGUUUAAGACAAGAAAUAAGCUCCAUGUAGCCAGUGGAAAACCUGCUUUAAAUGUCAAAGCAUCUACAAACAUGAAGUGAACACCUAAAAGCCAAAACAUGUGCUGAUGCUCUUUUAGCAGUACACUUGGCCAUCAAGCUGACCAGCAUCAAUUCACUGACAUUCAUCAUUCCCACGUAUCUCAGAGCUGUUUACGAGUGCCCAUGUAUGUCCAUUUGAUUGAUGAGUGAAGAGCAGCCAAGCCAGAGAAGCUCUUAUGAGUAUGAACUGUUCCCUUCUCCUGCUCAGAGCUCAUCCUAAGAGAAUUAGUCUUUAAAAUGUUCCCUUUCUGAAAACAGAGAGGAGGGGAGAGGGCUUUGGGGGUCAUGAAUGAACGGGAAGACAGUUUCAAUUGUUCCUGUGCAUCACUGAUUUGAGUUUUCACCAUCAUUGGUUGCACAGGGCCAUGA